ACGGUAGCACAGAGAGCUUGCUCCUCGGGUGACGAGUGGCGGACGGGUGAGUAAUGUCUGGGAAACUGCCCGAUGGAGGGGGAUAACUACUGGAAACGGUAGCUAAUACCGCAUAACGUCGCAAGACCAAAGAGGGGGACCUUCGGGCCUCUUGCCAUCGGAUGUGCCCAGAUGGGAUUAGCUAGUAGGUGGGGUAACGGCUCACCUAGGCGACGAUCCCUAGCUGGUCUGAGAGGAUGACCAGCCACACUGGAAUUGAGACACGGUCCAGACUCCUACGGGAGGCAGCAGUGGGGAAUAUUGCACAAUGGGCGCAAGCCUGAUGCAGCCAUGCCGCGUGUAUGAAGAAGGCCUUCGGGUUGUAAAGUACUUUCAGCGAGGAGGAAGGCAUUAAGGUUAAUAACCUUAGUGAUUGACGUUACUCGCAGAAGAAGCACCGGCUAACUCCGUGCCAGCAGCCGCGGUAAUACGGAGGGUGCAAGCGUUAAUCGGAAUUACUGGGCGUAAAGCGCACGCAGGCGGUCUGUCAAGUCGGAUGUGAAAUCCCCGGGCUCAACCUGGGAACUGCAUCCGAAACUGGCAGGCUAGAGUCUUGUAGAGGGGGGUAGAAUUCCAGGUGUAGCGGUGAAAUGCGUAGAGAUCUGGAGGAAUACC
rnacentral:rRNA from 1 species